rfam:Arabidopsis thaliana chromosome 3, complete sequence.
AUAUGCGAUCAUACCAGCACUAAUGCAUUGGAUCCCAUCAGAACUCCGCAGUUAAGCGUGCUUGGGCGAGAGUAGUACGAGGAUGGGUGACCUCGAGGAAUGUCCUCGUGUUGCAUCCC